rnacentral:miRNA from 1 species
CCUAUUCUUGGUUACUUGCACUG